rnacentral:lncRNA from 1 species
AUGAUCUGAUGGCUGAAAAUACGUUGAUGCAUGAUUUUACAUGAUCCAAGGGUCAGAGAAGGUUCUGGGAGAGAUCCAACGACUGGAAAGGGUAGUUGAGUCUUUUUAAAGCCCUGUUUUCCAUCCAGACUGGGAUUUGAGUCCUUUAUUAGAGGCAAAUGGGCCAAAAGGUAGAGAGCACCUUAUGGAAUAGAGAGUAGCGGUUGAGAGCACCCGAGAGGUAGAG